rnacentral:misc_RNA from 1 species
CAGAGUUGCAAAACUCCCAACCAUUGUGAACGAACCCGUUAUAGUUGCUUCGGCGGGUGGUGCGCUGAAAACCGCCCGCCGGCAGCAUGCAAACUCUAGAUUACAGUGGAUCUCUGAGUAGCUUAUUCAAUAAGUUAA